UGGGGAAUUUUCCACAAUGGGCGAAAGCCUGACGGAGCAAUGCCGCGUGGAGGUGGAAGGCCUACGGGUCGUCAACUUCUUUUCUCGGAGAAGAAACAAUGACGGUAUCUGAGGAAUAAGCAUCGGCUAACUCUGUGCCCG
rnacentral:rRNA from 1 species